GCGAGCAGGCGCGUGUGACGUCGGGAGGCGCCGCGGCUCCUCGGCCGCCCCACUCGGUGGUCCCCUGUCUGGAUCCAAACUGCUGACUGGCUGACCCGAGUGGUCACAUUUGCCCUCUGGGGCUUUUGAAAACCUUAAAUCAAAAUUGCUUUUGAAUCUGACAACUCCUGAGGCUACUUUCGCGGCCUCGGGGCUGUUUCAUAUAAGGACGCGAGUUUUCCUGAUCAGGUCUGUCGGCCACGUUACGAUUUCCAAUUUGCGAUCCAUCAGUUACUUCCAUUGGGUCUUCAGCCCCCAGGGACUGUGGAUCCUAGACCCCGCGGAGAAGCCCGUGGACUGGAGCUGUGUCAGCUCUGAUGGAACAAAAACGGAGGCACAGAGAGGUCAAUUGAUUGGUCUAAUGACACAGAUCUAGCAAGUGGUGGAACCAGGACUGAAUCCAGAGAAUCUGGAAGACUACUCUGCCAAGACAUCUCAAAAAGUGUGUGUCCGGAAUUGGUGGGUUCUUGGUCUCACUGACUUCAAGAAUGAAGCCGCGGACCCUUGCGGAACUGUGAAGACUAGAGUGACCUUGGAGAUCUCAUCUGGAAGAUGGUAGAACUGCUAUCAGCCUGGCUUCCCAAAUGACCUCCUGGAUCACAGCUACCCAUGGCCUGAAAUGUUGACCUUGGAGUUGUUGCAUAGGAAAGAAAUAAACUUCUUUGUUC
rnacentral:lncRNA from 10 species